rnacentral:siRNA from 1 species
AGCCGCAGACAAUCAGAGAUGCCC